CCUACGGGAGGCAGCAGUGGGGAAUAUUGGGCAAUGGAGGAAACUCUGACCCAGCGACGCCGCGUGCGGGAUGAAGGCCUUCGGGUUGUAAACCGCUUUCAGCAGGGAAGAAGCGAAAGUGACGGUACCUGCAGAAGAAGCACCGGCUAACUAUGUGCCAGCAGCCGCGGUAAUACAUAGGGUGCAAGCGUUGUCCGGAAUUAUUGGGCGUAAAGAGCUCGUAGGUGGUUCGUCACGUCGGAUGUGAAAAUCUGGGGCUUAACCCCAGACCUGCAUUCGAUACGGGCGAGCUUGAGUAUGGUAGGGGAGUCUGGAAUUCCUGGUGUAGCGGUGGAAUGCGCAGAUAUCAGGAGGAACACCAAUGGCGAAGGCAGGACUCUGGGCCAUUACUGACACUGAGGAGCGAAAGCGUGGGGAGCGAACAGGAUUAGAUACCCUGGUAGUCCACGCCGUAAACGGUGGGCACUAGUUGUGGGGACCUUCCACGGUCUCUGCGACGCNGCUACGCAUAGUGCCCGCCGUCGGAGGACGAGUCGCAGAUAACUACGAAGAAGUAGAGCGNGAGACGNGCGAGCGACGACGAGGGAGAG
rnacentral:rRNA from 1 species